CACUGGCCAGCAUAUCGCUUAGUUCAGGACUUUAGAGCCCUGAAUAGUUUAAUUGUGCCCAUUUCACCCAUUGUCCCUGAUGUGACAUCCCUCAUUACAGCCAUUCCACAUGAUGCCACUUGCUUCACUGUCAUUGAUUUAAGUAAUAAAUUUUUUUCUAUACCUAUUAAUCAAGAGACACAGCUACUUAUGGUUUUUAUUUUUUGAAGGCUGUCAGUUUACCUGGACACGCUUACCCAAGGCUAUGUGGAUUCCCCAGCUGUUUAUUCGUUGGUACUCUAACAUACUCUAAAAAACAUGGACCACCGGUCAUGGUUCCGUCCUUUUUGCAAAAUGUUGAUGAUUUGUUGUUAUGUAGCCCUAACUAUGAGGCAAGCACUGUGGAUACUGUCAGCAACUGUGGGUCACAAGGUUGUUAAACACAAAAUGCAAUUGUGUAAAUCAAAGGUUGAAUACUUAGGUUUUGUUCUGGCUUUAGGCACCAGACAAUUGAGUCCAAAAUGUAUUGAGGUCAUUCAGAGGAUUCCUACACCCACUACUCGGAAGGAGUUGCUCACCUUCCUCGGCAUGAUUAAUUACUGCCGCCAAUGGAUCCCUGAAUGCUCCCAUUAUAACUCAAUCCUAAGGGAGGCUGUACGUUCUGACAGCCCUGAAAAUGUCUGCUGGUCACCAGACAUGCUAGCUGCAUAUAUUGCCCUUACAGUUAUUAUUGUGCAAGCCCAGGCUUUAGGACUACCUGUGUAUUGUAAACCAUUUCAUUUGUAUGCUUGGGACAAUUGUAAAACCGUGGCCGCGGUCUGUGCACAAGAGCAAGGAGGCGGUAUGCGUCCCAUAGCAUUCUUUUCCAAAGUAGUUCGAGCUCCGGUAAAGGGUAUGCCGGCGUGUCUCAGAGCAUUGAUAGCAUGUGCAAUGGCUGUUGAAACUGCUACUACUAUCACACUAGGGCAUCAUACAAUACUUCAUGCCAGUCACCAGGUCACUCAGCUGACAAAUCUCACCACACAACACAUGACAGCCCAGCGCUUCAGUGGUUAUGAGAUUCUUUUUUUAAAUACCCAGAAUCUGUCUUUUGGAUUAAACAAGGUUUAGAGAAAGAUCAAAAUGAUCUGUUCUCUAAAGAGGGGAGAAUAGGCAUACUUGAAGAAUAGGCAUACUUGAAGCAAGCUGAUUUAUUUUCAUCAGUCAGGCACAUAGCAAGCACCAUUCAAUUCUUCAUGAAUUCAUUUUAUAUUAGGAAUCUCAGGCAGCAUGUACAGUCUUUUGUAAGAUCGUGUGAACGCUGCUCUUUUUACACACUUACAGAUUGAUUUUAUUCAUGUAUCCAAAAUUGGUAAGAAACAGCAAUACUUACUGGUCAUAGUUAAUCAGUUUAGUAGAUGGCAUGAGGCCUUUGUGAUAUCUAGGGAAGAUUCUAGUGAAGAUUAUUGUUACUGAAAUUAUUCCCCGGUAUUGCUGCCCUCUGCAGAUUGGCUCUGAUAAUGGCCCGGUUUUUGCAAGUGGGGUUGCCCAGGAACUUGCUAAAUUCUUGCAAAUUACCUGGCAGUUUCAUAUACCCUAUCAUCCACAGAAUACAGGGGUAGUUGAAAGGAUGAAUAGGACUAUUAAGGAAAAGCCCAGAAUUUACCCAGGAACAUGGGUAAAUUGGACAAGAUAUCUACCAGCUAUUUUAGCUGAGAUAAGAAUGAAUCCCCACAAGGUGAAUUGUUGAUAAAACCGAAUGUUAUGUAUGACAAUGUUUCUUCGCAGUUUUCCCUUACCUUCACAGGAACCUACUCAUUCAUACCAGCCCGGUGACAAGGUGUAUAUCCGUCAGUUGAACAGGACCAAGAAAGGAGGAUACCCUUUUGGACCACCUGCUACUGUGAUUGCUGUACCCAGAACCGCUGUCCACAGAUUCCCACGACAUCUGGAUUCACGCAUCCCGAGUGAAGCUGUGUCCAAAGAGGGGAACCAAGGAAGACAACACCACUCCUCGCUCGGAAACAGAAGAAUUUCUCCUCAGCGAAGCAUCAUGGCUUUUACACCAUAUCGUAGAUUGAGAGGAUCAUACGUACCUGAGACCAAGAUUAUGUUGUGCGCUAUGCUUUCUGGAGUUGUUAUACUCCCUCUGAUAUUGUUCCUUGAAUGCCAUUAUGAGUACAAGUCAAUGGCAAGUUUGAAACCUGUUUGUUUCUGGAAAAAAGACUCUGACAUGAUGAACAAUUCUUCAAUACCCCCAGCCCAAUUAGGCCUUAGCCCCUCAUCUAGCAUUCGUCACACACGCCCCCUCAAGAACCUUUUUCCACCACCUUUCUAUCAGCAUGCAAUAUGCAAUCAUUCAUUGACUGAACGCAUUUGGAUGAAUUGGACAAAUAGUAACCCUUAUAAGUACCAGUUACCCAUAUGAAAUGUGUCUACAGCUAAUGAAACCGAUGCAUUAUGUUUGUUUAAAGGUUCACAGAAAAUUGUUAGAUCUUAUAACGCAGAAAUGUGCACAGUUAAGGUUACAUAUCAAUGUAAACAGACAGGCCUUAUUACUUUUAAUAAUGAUUAUAUAACUGGUAUCAUUAAUUGGAGAAGGGGACAAAUGUUAGUCAUUAUGAACAACACUACAAUUGAGAACUAUACACUACCUUAUAUGUUUACACCUUAUUACUGUCCUUUAUCCUCUACCAUAGAACCAAAAGUCAACAACGACACACACACACCUAUUCCGUCCACAUGUAUUAAUACAACUGCCUUCUUACAAGCUGUACAUGUGUCAUUAAAAAUCACUACUCUUGUUGUAACAUUAUGUAACACAGCAAACAAAAGGCAGAAAAGGGAAUGGUAUGACACACUGUUAGGAGGUGCUGGAACCACUAUGGGUAUACUAAAUAGUUAUAGAUAUGGAGACCCUCAAGAAUAAGUUAAACACAGCCAGCAUGCAUAUAGGGACUGGUUUUCAUGCUACUGCAAAUUGGGCUCCAACUGUUGUUAAAUCACAGGUUAGAGGAUUGGAUUUAGAUAAAUCAAUGUAUAAUUAUUUAGAUAAUUUAACUGUUGCAACUAUGAAAUUCACUACAGGUCUAAGUAACUGGAGUACUUGUGCCAUCAGGUAUUUAUGGAUACAACAACAAGGAUUGGCAUUAGAAAACACACUAAUGAUUCCUAAACUAGAGAAGAUUAGAGGAAUGUGUAACCUCACAGAUAAUGAUUGGUUACUUCUAAAACCCCAAUCCAGUAAAUGCAAUGGAUGGUUAACUGGUAAUGUUUCACAUUUUUCAUGCUCUUGCUAUUUUACAUUAUAUCAUACAUCAUCAAAGGAUGUUAAAUUAGCUUGUCAAUUUAACACAUUACCAGUACCAGUUUAUGAUCUUUUUGCCAAGAAUUUAACCUGGUGGGCACCCACAUACACAGGGGACUAUAUUUUUCCCAAAGAUAACAUACACAGGUAGCCACACAUAUCCUAAAAGGAGAACUCCUUAAGGUGAGUUCACAAAUUCAGAAUGAUUUAGCCCAUCAUUGGUACGAUGCUUCACUGGUUGGUCCCCUACUGGAUCUCAGAUAAUGAAAUCAUUCUUCUAUCAUUUUGUUAUUAUAGUCCUGAUUUUAUUGUGUAUGGUUUUAUAUAACUGUCACCUUACUUGUACAUUGAGGAAGAGAGUACAGAAAUGAAUCCAUAAUGCAGAACAGAAACAAUUAGAAAUUCUCCUCUCUGCCACUGGAGGGUAUCAACCCAUCUUUAAACUUGGCCUUAGGAAUUACCACAUGGGAAUCGAGGUGAAGAAAUUAAUGAAAGUCCCGCAGGGAGUGACUAGCACCCCUGAAAAUACCAUGUGGAAGUUUCUCUGUCCUGAUAAGAUUUUAUCGAUAAGAUGAGCAAUUGUUUUAUUGCUCAAAGAGGGGAAUGUAAGAAUAUUAAAUAGUUAACUUGUUUAUAUGUAUUUUAUGCUUUUAUAAGGUUUAUAACAUGAUUAUUGCUGACUGAAGGAAUAUUGAAUACUUAAACGACAUAAUAUGCUGACUGUGACAGACUAAGGUAUUUCUUCUAUAGGAUGUAAGACAAUGCUAAAAUUUCAGGAUGUCUUGCCCAUUCCGAUUUCAGGAUAUUCUUUUCCAGACGUAUGCAAAAGCUUAUCUUUCCAUUGUCAGAAUAACGUAAUAUAAGGAAGUAAUAAAUCUUAUAGUCUGUACUGUAUUUGCAUAUACCAUGGCUAAUGUAAGCAAACUAUGUAUAAAAGCCAGCUCUGGAAUACACUCAUUUGAGAGUCUUGUAAAGCUGUUGUCCGUGUGUUAUUGCUUACAAAUGAUUCUCCAUCAACGUUGAUUAUGGUGACCGAGGGAUCGAGAACCGAGGGGAUUAGAGUCCAUUACAACAUUAACCCUUUCACUGU